GCUGGGUGUGGUGGUGCACACCUAUAAUCCCAGCUACUCAGGAGGCUGAGGCGGGAGAAUCACUUGAACCCAGGAGGCUGAGGUUGCAGUGAGCUGAAAUCGUGCCACUGUACUCUAGCCUGGGUGACAGAGGGAGACUCCUUCUCAA
rnacentral:SRP_RNA from 1 species